AAGUUUUUGAAUAAAUGGGCCACGGGGGCCCAUUUUGGUAAGAAAAAAUGGGGGGGUUUGGGUGACCCAAACGAAUUUUACGGUUGCCCAAAAUACCAACUUAUACAGAAACCAUGAAGGUGGUUGGUGGCUUAAAUCAGCAGGACGGAAUCAUGGAAGUAGAAAUCCGUAAAGGAGUGGGUAACCAACUCUCCUGCGUAGGCAACUAGCCCUUAAAAUGGAUGGCGCUUAAUUUGUAUACCUAUACAUUACCGAUAAAGUAGAUGGUAUAUAUUGCUUGUAAUAUAAAUUAUGAAACUUUAGUGAGUAGGAAGGUACAAUGGUGCGCACAGAAGUGUUUGGCGUAAGCCUGCAUGGAGCCGCUAUUGGUACAGAUCUUGGUGGUAGUAGCAGAUAAUCGAAUGAGACCUGGGAGGACUGAAGUGGAGAAGGGUUUCGUGUGAACAGUGGUUGAUCUCGAGUUAGUCGGUCCUAAGUCCAAGGCGAAAGCCGAAAAUUUUCAAGUAAAGAAAAAUCUAAAUAUAUUUGUCAUCUAACCGAUUUUUAUACACUUGAAUAAUUUUGAACGAAAGGGAAUACGGUUCCAAUUCCGUAACCUGUUGAGUAUCCGUUUGUUAUUAAAUAUGGGCCUCGUGCUCAUCCUGGCAACAGGAACGACCAUAAAGAAGCCGUCGAGAGGUAUCGGAAGAGUUUUCUUUUCUGUUUUAUAGCCGUACUACCAUGGAAGUCUUUCGCAGAGAGAUAUGGUAGAUGGGCUAGAAGAGCAUGACAUAUACUGUUGUGUCGAUAUUUUCUCCUCGGACCUUGAAAAUUUAUGGUGGGGACACGCAAACUUCUCAACAGGCCGUACCAAUAUCCGCAGCUGGUCUCCAAGGUGAAGAGUCUCUAGUCGAUAGAAUAAUGUAGGUAAGGGAAGUCGGCAAAUUAGAUCCGUAACUUCGGGAUAAGGAUUGGCUCUGAAGAUUGAGAUAGUCGGGCUUGAUUGGGAAACAAUAACAUGGUUUAUGUGCUCGUUCUGGGUAAAUAAAGUUUCUAUCAUUUAUGGUAGUUUCUUGUUCCCCGGAUAGUUUAGUUACGUAGCCAAUUGUGGAACUUUCUUGCUAAAAUUUUUAAGAAUACUAGUUGGGCUACCAAUUAGUUCUUUUAAAUUAUAACGAUUAUCAAUUAACAAUCAAUUCAGAAC
rnacentral:ncRNA from 1 species